AAAAACGUCCGAAUUUUUGAUAAACAUUGCAUAAAAAAAAACAUGAAGGCUAGACAAUAACGUGCAGGAAGAUAAAACAUUUGAAAAUCAUUUUGAAUGUUGAGGACACUUGAGCAUAUCUUGUCCAUGCAAUCUCCUGGGGCAUGUAUGUUGUGCUGUUUUGCAGGUUGUUGCUUUUUUCCUGGCUGAAGCAGAUAAGCCACGGUUGAUUCCUCAGCAGUAUGAGAGAUGGG
rnacentral:lncRNA from 1 species